ACGCUGGCGGCGUGCCUAAUACAUGCAAGUAGAACGCUGAAGAGAGGAGCUUGCUCUUCUUGGAUGAGUUGCGAACGGGUGAGUAACGCGUAGGUAACCUGCCUUGUAGCGGGGGAUAACUAUUGGAAACGAUAGCUAAUACCGCAUAACAAUGGAUGACACAUGUCAUUUAUUUGAAAGGGGCAAUUGCUCCACUACAAGAUGGACCUGCGUUGUAUUAGCUAGUAGGUGAGGUAACGGCUCACCUAGGCGACGAUACAUAGCCGACCUGAGAGGGUGAUCGGCCACACUGGGACUGAGACACGGCCCAGACUCCUACGGGAGGCAGCAGUAGGGAAUCUUCGGCAAUGGGGGCAACCCUGACCGAGCAACGCCGCGUGAGUGAAGAAGGUUUUCGGAUCGUAAAGCUCUGUUGUAAGUCAAGAACGAGUGUGAGAGUGGAAAGUUCACACUGUGACGGUAGCUUACCAGAAAGGGACGGCUAACUACGUGCCAGCAGCCGCGGUAAUACGUAGGUCCCGAGCGUUGUCCGGAUUUAUUGGGCGUAAAGCGAGCGCAGGCGGUUUGAUAAGUCUGAAGUUAAAGGCUGUGGCUCAACCAUAGUUCGUUUUGGAAACUGUUUAACUUGAGUGCAGAAGGGGAGAGUGGAAUUCCAUGUGUAGCGGUGAAAUGCGUAGAUAUAUGGAGGAACACCGGUGGCGAAAGCGGCUCUCUGGCUUGUAACUGACGCUGAGGCUCGAAAGCGUGGGGAGCGAACAGGAUUAGAUACCCUGGUAGUCCACGCCGUAAACGAUGAGUGCUAGGUGUUGGACCCUUUCCGGGAUUCAGUGCCGCAGCUAACGCAUUAAGCACUCCGCCUGGGGAGUACGACCGCAAGGUUGAAACUCAAAGGAAUUGACGGGGGCCCGCACAAGCGG
rnacentral:rRNA from 1 species